rnacentral:misc_RNA from 1 species
ACCAAGAAAGAUGUGCGUUGAGUGAAGUGCUCACACAGAUUGUCUGAUGAAAAUAAUGAGCAAGCGCACCUGUUGAUGUAAUGAGUAUGCACUCAUGCUGAUGCGAGCGUGCCGGAUGUCUGAUUCGGUACGGAGUUUUCGUGUCCCCAUCGUCUAGAGGCCUAGGACACCGCCCUUUCACGGCGGUAACAGGGGUUCGAAUCCCCUUGGGGACGCCAAUCCGAUAAUGAGUGAAAGACAUUAUCCUGAAUAUCGUAAAGAUGACUUUGAUAAGUCGUGUUUACGAUAUUGCUCUUUAACAAUCUGGAACAAGCUGAAAAUUGAAACAUGCCAGCGGAAUAUUCGUGAAUCCCUUGGCUAUUUAUGAGUAAACGCGGUGAAUUUGUCUGUCAAUGAGUCUCUCAAAUAAUCGCAGCGCGCCAGUGACUUUGAUUUAUCAAAGACACCUUCGGGUUGUGA